CGUCAAAGCGCGAAAAACAUUUUCUUCCGGUCUGCCAACCACGCAAAAUGUAAACAAACGAAACAUUUGAUUCUCAUCAACAGCCAAGCUAACGUUGUUACCUAUAGGUUACAAUUUUUAUUUUCAAAAUUACACUAUUGCUUGAUAGACCUUGGUGAAUGAAGGUAAAAAAUGAUAGCCUUUGAGUGUUUUCAUCAUGGAAGAAUGUUACAAGAGUGUUUUUCUACAAACAGUCACAUAAUAAUUUAUUCAUGCUGUAGCAUAAAAGUCAUAUUACUGAACAACAGCCCAUGGUAAGAACUAAUGCUCAAGCUGAUGAAAUAACUUUGAAUUUCAAAGCCCCUCACAAAAGCAGAAUUUACGUCAUAUGUGAGUGAAUCUUUGUCCCUGGAUCAUGCUGAAAAGGCAUUCACACUGGAUGUGAAAAAAAAUCAUGUAUGUGAAUUCAAAGAUGCAAACAGAAACCUGAUUGUCAAGAUCUCCCUGGGUUAAUAUAUUUCCCAAUAAGGUUCUUGCUCACAUCUCUACAUAUUCGAAUUUUUCGCAUCCGCUGUGAAUAGUCCUUUACACCUUUAUGGCGGAAUCUCGGAAAAUAAGUUCAGCAGAUUAUCCCCAUUGACAAUUUUCAUGUUUUUAACAGUUCCUUUUAAAACAAAUUUUCAUUUGAAGUUGUAUGCAUAAUGCUUGUGUUCUUGAAAUGAAAACUGAAUGAAGUUAAAUCAAACAGUUUUCUUUUAAUAUUGCAAAGUUACCUCAAUUAGAGGAGAUGUGAAGGAGGAAUUUCAAAAUUGACCAAAGUGAAUUGGAAACUAACAACAGUAUUAUGCAGACAAAAGUGGAAGUUAAUAAUGUAAGGAAAGAUAAUAAUAAAGGUAUGCAUUAUAUUCGCAAGAGCUAACCAUGGAGAUGUUUUCUGAUCAAAUCUCUUCUGCAGCAAGUCCUGUAAAAAAAUAAAAAGACUGUGCAGCUGAAAGCAACAUUAUAAUCAUAAACAAUUGAAGCUGAAUUUCUAAUUUAUAAUGUGUGUAAAAAAAUUCAUUUAGGGCAGUAUUAUUGUUGCAAGUUUUCUAUCAUUUAAUUGAAAAUAAAUUUUAUACAUAAGAUUUUAUUUGCUCAGUUACUGUCUAAUUGUGAUAGAUUAAAAAUGUUUACAGUAGGACUUUUUUGUUUAAUUUUAAUAUAAUAUUACUUGAUGAUUUUAUUCAAAUAAUGCAUGUUGUACUACAAAUUAAACCUUUCACAAAUCAAAUUUGUUGUCUUUAGGAGAAGUAACAUACAAUUUUUGAGAUGUUGAUUUUUCUUUAAAUCUUUUUAAUAAGGGAAAAUUUUAGAUGAUCUUUGUAUAAUAUUUUUCUGUAAACUUUCUCUCUUUUUGUAUUUAGUAAGUUAGUGCAAUUAUGUUCAACAGUUCUGAAUGAUAAAACAAUAUAAGGUGCCAAAUUGAUUAGUGCUGAUUUAACAUACACAAAAGCAUACCUUUUCUUAAGUGAAUAGGUAUUUUUUUGUGACAUCUGCUUUUUCUAUUAUGUGUAAAUAAAAAACAUUUUAAGAA
rnacentral:lncRNA from 1 species